UACAGAGGGUGCAAGCGUUAAUCGGAAUUACUGGGCGUAAAGGGCGCGUAGGUGGUUGAUUAAGUCAGAUGUGAAAUCCCUGGGCUUAACCUAGGAAUUGCAUUUGAUACUGGUCAGCUAGAGUGUGGGAGAGGGAAGUGGAAUUUCCAGUGUAGCGGUGAAAUGCGUAGAUAUUGGAAGGAACACCAGUGGCGAAGGCGACUUCCUUGACCACUACUGACACUGAGGCGCGAAAGCGUGGGGAGCGAACAGG
rnacentral:rRNA from 1 species